UUGCGGUUUUGGGUUUGCACCUCUGCGAUCUCUGCGUCCGCCUCUGCGAUCUCUGCGUCCGCCUCUGCGAGCGACUGCUUCUGCUUCCAUCUCUGCAAUCUGCAUCUCUGUUUAUCCUCUGCGAUCACCAGGCUGCUUCUGCUUCCAUCUCUGCAAUCUGCAUCUCUGCGUCUGCCUCUGCGAGCGACUGCCUGCUUGCAUCUCUGGAAGCGGUGGAAGUGAUCGGCAACUGCCUGACUGCAAUCUGCAUCUCCGCCUCUGCCUUGCCUUGCGACCUCACUGAGUCAUUGCUUACCAGCUAAUAUGAACUCCAAUUACCAACAAUACCAGUUCCAAAACCAAAAGUUGGUGUAGGAAGGAAAGGCAACUAAUCCUGUGAUGAUUGAGGAAAAUAUGGAGGAAAUCCAGGUGGCUGAGCACCAUAAGGAACCAUUGGAACUGCAGUAAUCCUGCCUCCAGUGCUAGGAGAUUCAACAUCAGAAGACUGUGAAAUAGAUGGACCAUUUUUAAAUUGUGAACUCCUUGAAGACCUAGAACCACCAUGCAUGUAUAAAGCUGACAUACUAUCAGAUAAAGAGUUUAUGGCAAUGUUAUUUUCUCUUUCAGCACCAAGAAGCAAAGCUUUUAAUUAUUUCAUAGAAAUAGAGGUAUCUUUUGCAAAAACUACCGUUCUAAUGGUAGCAUAUUCAUUGGGCAAUCCAGCUAAAGUAGCAAUGAUAACAUCAUUGUGAGAAA